rnacentral:tRNA from 1 species
CGAAGUGUAGCUUAACCAAACUCAAAGCCUUUCCGCUUACACCGAAAAAACACCUGUUGAACCCUGGUCACUUCGA